ensembl:lncRNA
AUUAUCUGCAGAAAACACCCAUCAUGGGACUGCGGGGUGUUGAAGCGCGGUGCUGGCGGGUGUUAUCGGUGCGGAUGAUGAAUGGCUGCACUCUGUCAGGCUGACAUAUGCACGGUGUGGCAGAUGGGACCCGGUUUGGACUCUCAUUCUGACGGCACCCAUUCACUGCAGAGGAUCCAUUGCUGAGCAAGUGAUGUAAUGCUACAUUUCCCCAAAUCUGAUGAAGAAACAAACUCUUCUAAAUCUUGGAUGACCUAAGGAGUCUGACUUUGAGCAAAAAUGCUACAUGCUGCGUGAAUCUGUUGCAACAUCAUAAGAGCAUUGACUUUGACUUCACAUCAGAGCAGUGAACACCAGUGUCCAGACGUUCCUUUGAGCCCCGGAUUAAUUUCCAUCAUACUCAGCCGCAUGGAGAAGGUGCCCCAGCUGAGGAACAGAUGACUCGCGCUCUUAACAGGUGCUCAGACACUCAGCAGGCCUCAUGCUUCGGGGGAUCAAAGCGCGGCUGCAGAAACUGCAAGCCCCUGUAAUUGCGUACAAUGAGCUGGCGAGUCGGCCGGUCCAGGUGCUAUUUGAACAGGUGUAUUUGCAUGUCACAAUACAGAUGGCAUAGGCCUUCAUGGCCUUGAUCACGAUUCGAGCACAAUUUACCCACACCGAGCCGCCACUGUUCUCCAGACCUGCGCUGUUUACCAACGUAAACAGAAUGAACGAUGCCAGACACUCUUUUGCUAGCCCAUACCCUGUUUUUCCUCCUGGACAGCACAUGUCUAAAUGUUCCCUUGCUGGAAAAAUACUUUAAACCAGUGUAAGGUAGAAAGCUGGUCUGUUUUGCUAGUUUUAGAAGGGUAUUGAGUAGUUGACACAGCUGCUCAGGCUGGG